CCUACGGGCGGCAGCAGUGGGGAAUAUUGGGCAAUGGGCGCAAGCCUGACCCAGCAACGCCGCGUGAAGGAAGAAGGCUCUCGGGUUGUAAACUUCUUUUCUCAGGGACGAAGAAAGUGACGGUACCUCAGGAAUAAGCCACGGCUAACUACGUGCCAGCAGCCGCGGUAAUACGUAGGUGGCAAGCGUUAUCCGGAUUUACUGGGUGUAAAGGGCGUGUAGGCGGGCAAGCAAGUCAGAUGUGAAAACUCAGGGCUCAACCCUGGGCCUGCAUUUGAAACUGUUUUUCUUGAGUGCUGGAGAGGCAGUCGGAAUUCCGUGUGUAGCGGUGAAAUGCGUAGAUAUACGGAGGAACACCAGUGGCGAAGGCGGAUUGCUGGACAGUAACUGACGCUGAGGCGCGAAAGCGUGGGGAGCAAACAGGAUUAGAUACCCGUGUAGUC
rnacentral:rRNA from 1 species